rnacentral:rRNA from 1 species
AAAUUGAAGAGUUUGAUCAUGGCUCAGAUUGAACGCUGGCGGCAGGCCUAACACAUGCAAGUCGAACGGUAACAGGAAGAAGCUUGCUUCUUUGCUGACGAGUGGCGGACGGGUGAGUAAUGUCUGGGAAACUGCCUGAUGGAGGGGGAUAACUACUGGAAACGGUAGCUAAUACCGCAUAACGUCGCAAGACCAAAGAGGGGGACCUUCGGGCCUCUUGCCAUCGGAUGUGCCCAGAUGGGAUUAGCUAGUAGGUGGGGUAACGGCUCACCUAGGCGACGAUCCCUAGCUGGUCUGAGAGGAUGACCAGCCACACUGGAACUGAGACACGGUCCAGACUCCUACGGGAGGCAGCAGUGGGGAAUAUUGCACAAUGGGCGCAAGCCUGAUGCAGCCAUGCCGCGUGUAUGAAGAAGGCCUUCGGGUUGUAAAGUACUUUCAGCGGGGAGGAAGGGAGUAAAGUUAAUACCUUUGCUCAUUGACGUUACCCGCAGAAGAAGCACCGGCUAACUCCGUGCCAGCAGCCGCGGUAAUACGGAGGGUGCAAGCGUUAAUCGGAAUUACUGGGCGUAAAGCGCACGCAGGCGGUUUGUUAAGUCAGAUGUGAAAUCCCCGGGCUCAACCUGGGAACUGCAUCUGAUACUGGCAAGCUUGAGUCUCGUAGAGGGGGGUAGAAUUCCAGGUGUAGCGGUGAAAUGCGUAGAGAUCUGGAGG